rnacentral:tRNA from 1 species
GGUCGCUUAGCUCAGCUGGUCAGAGCGCACGGUUUACAUCCGUAAGGUCGCAGGUUCGAAUCCUGCAGCGACCA